GCUGGAUGUCAGAAGAAAGUGAAGCUCCCGAGUAUUCAGUACCAAAAAUCAUCUACACAUCAAGAACCCAUUCACAACUUACACAAGUCGUAAAUGAGCUGAAGAAUACGGUUUACAAACCCAAAGUAUGCGUGCUAGGUUCACGUGACCAGCUGUGCAUUCAUCCCCAGGUUCUUGAACAAGAAACGCACACGGCAAAG